CCGAUCAACAACCAGCUUAAACUCGUAUGACACAAAUAAGCUCCCGAUCCCAUCACCAAGAAAAGCCCUAGAUCCAAUCGGAUCCAAAUCUCUGGUCGUGGCUCUCGUCGCCGUCGCCGCCAUCUUCUCCCUCGUCGGCGUCGCCACCGCCACCGACGCUCCCGUCCUCGUCUGCGUCGUUCCCUCCAUCUCCGAUCCGAUCGCCGACGCCUUCUUCCUCUCCGCCGCCGCGAUGUUCGCCGGAGCUCUUCAUCAAUGAUGGAUCUGACCUCUUUGUGCCAGAUCUGCGCGUUUUGAGGGAUGUUGGGAUGACAUGCAACAAAAGUUAGAUGAGCUUUCUGAGAAUAUCAUGCAAUUGGAUAUUGGAGAAUCUAUGCCAACACAAGUAUGAAUCUCUCAUACUAUGAUGCGGUAGCUGAAGAAAAAGAAAAUGUCAUCACCCACCAACAGCCCAAGCGCCCAAGCGCCCUCUCCCAAGCUUACCAAGCUCUCCCACGUCACCAAUGGCGUCGCCAAAGAAAACCCACCUCUGCUCAAGAUCAAGAAACUCUCUGAAAACGCCACCCUGCCCUCUCGAGCCUCUCCUCUCUCCGCUGGCUAUGACCUCUCCAGCGCUGUGGCAACGAAAGUUCCUGCUCGAGGAAAAGCCCUCGUCCCUACCGAUCUCAGCAUCUCUAUCCCCGAGGGAACCUACGCUCGCGUCGCGCCGAGAUCUGGUUUAGCGUGGAAGCACUCGAUUGAUGUCGGAGCGGGAGUGAUCGAUGCGGACUACCGCGGGCCGUUGGGUGUCAUUCUGUUCAACUUCUCGGACGUGGACUUUGAGGUGAAGGCUGGUGAUAGGAUUGCCCAGUUCAUCAUUGAGAGGAUCAUGACGCCGGAUGUUGUCGAGGUCGAGGACCUGGAUUCGACCGCCAGGGGUGCUGGAGGGUUUGGAUCAACUGGGGUUUGAUUAGGAAAGCGAAAAUUGUAGCGUCUCUUCUAUGCAGGAGAGAGAUUAACUAUCAAAACUUUGGUUAUGGCCUUGUGAGUAAAUAGUUUGGGGAUCGCCAUGGAUUAAUGUUGGUACUCUUGUGAGUUUGAUCAGUAAAUUCACGGAAAGGGGAAAACAAACGUGUUAGUAAUUGGUGGUACCUUCUUUUGUGCUGUUGGAUUAUUUAUCUGUUAAUUAGUUUUCCUCUA